rnacentral:Y_RNA from 1 species
GGUUGAUCUGAGUGCAGUGGUGUUUACAACGAAUUGAUCAUAACCAGUUACAGAUUCCUUUGUUCCCUCUCCACUCCCACUGCUUCACCUGACCAGCCUUAA